GACCUGAUAGCACAAAACGAAGUGCAUCUGCUCAUCAUAAUUGGGAUCACCGUGCCAAUUCAGUCAGUAGAAUAUCCCCGUUCGAUUCGGGGUCAGGUCU